rnacentral:rRNA from 1 species
GACGAACGCUGGCGGCGCGCUUAACACAUGCAAGUCGAGCGAGAACCAGUCCUUCGGCCCCGGGGACAGCGGCGAACGGGUGAGUAACACGUGAGUAACCUGCCCUCGGCACCGGAAUAGCCCGGGGAAACCCGGAUUAAUGCCGGAUGGCCCCUCUGCCCUGCGGGGCGGCGGGAAAAGGUAGCUUCGGCCUCCGUCCGAGGAUGGGCUCGCGGCGGAUUAGCUUGUUGGCGGGGUAACGGCCCACCAAGGCGACGAUCCGUAGCUGGUCUGAGAGGACGAUCAGCCACACUGGGACUGAGACACGGCCCAGACUCCUACGGGAGGCAGCAGUGGGGAAUCUUGCGCAAUGGGCGAAAGCCUGACGCAGCGACGCCGCGUGCGGGAAGAAGGCCCUCGGGUUGUAAACCGCUUUCAGGAGGGACGAAGCCACUCGGGUGAACAGCCCAGAGGGUGACGGUACCUCCAGAAGAAGCCCCGGCUAACUACGUGCCAGCAGCCGCAGUAAUAC